rnacentral:rRNA from 1 species
UACGGAGGAUCCAAGCGUUAUCCGGAAUUAUUGGGUUUAAAGGGUCCGUAGGCGGUUUAGUAAGUCAGUGGUGAAAGCCCAUCGCUCAACGGUGGAACGGCCAUUGAUACUGCUGAACUUGAAUUAUUAGGAAGUAACUAGAAUAUGUAGUGUAGCGGUGAAAUGCUUAGAGAUUACAUGGAAUACCAAUUGCGAAGGCAGGUUACUACUAAUGGAUUGACGCUGAUGGACGAAAGCGUGGGUAGCGAACAGG